UACGUAGGGGGCGAGCGUUGUCCGGAUUUAUUGGGCGUAAAGAGCUCGUAGGCGGUUCGAUAAGUCGGACGUGAAAUCUCCACGCUCAACGUGGAGGGGCCGUUCGAUACUGUCGUGACUCGAGUCCGGUAGGGGAGUGUGGAAUUCCCGGUGUAGCGGUGAAAUGCGCAGAGAUCGGGAGGAACACCCGUAGCGAAGGCGGCACUCUGGGCCGGUAUUGACGCUGAGGCGCGAAAGCGUGGGGAGCAAACAGG
rnacentral:rRNA from 1 species